rnacentral:rRNA from 1 species
GACGAACGCUGGCGGCGUGCUUAACACAUGCAAGUCGAACGGUAAGGCUCCAGCUUGCUGGGGUACACGAGUGGCGAACGGGUGAGUAACACGUGGGUGACCUGCCCUGCACUUCGGGAUAAGCCUGGGAAACUGGGUCUAAUACCGGAUAGGACCAUGGUGUGGAUACUGUGGUGGAAAGUUUUUUCGGUGUGGGAUGGGCCCGCGGCCUAUCAGCUUGUUGGUGGGGUAAUGGCCUACCAAGGCGGCGACGGGUAGCCGGCCUGAGAGGGUGGACGGCCACAUUGGGACUGAGACACGGCCCAGACUCCUACGGGAGGCAGCAGUGGGGAAUAUUGCACAAUGGGCGGAAGCCUGAUGCAGCGACGCCGCGUGGGGGAUGACGGCCUUCGGGUUGUAAACUCCUUUCACCAUCGACGAAGGGUUUCAGACGGUAGAUGGAGAAGAAGCACCGGCUAACUACGUG